GGGGAUAUGGCCUAGUGGUAAGGCGUCCGCUUUGCACGAAUGAGCGCAAGCUCGGUCUCACAUGCGGAAGAUCUGGGGUUCGAUCCCCCAUGUCUCCA
rfam:Saitoella complicata NRRL Y-17804 DNA, contig: contig079, whole genome shotgun sequence.